rnacentral:rRNA from 1 species
GACGAACGCUGGCGGCGUGCUUAACACAUGCCAGUCGAACGGAAAGGCCUCUUUCGGGGGGUACUCGAGUGGCGAACGGGUGAGUAACACGUGAGUAACCUGCCCUUGACUUUGGGAUAACUUAAGGAAACUGGGGCUAAUACCGGAUAGGAGCUCCUGCUGCAUGGUGGGGGUUGGAAAGUUUCGGCGGUUGGGGAUGGACUCGCGGCUUAUCAGCUUGUUGGUGGGGCAGUGGCUUACCAAGGCUUUGACGGGUAGCCGGCCUGAGAGGGUGACCGGCCACAUUGGGACUGAGAUACGGCCCAGACUCCUACGGGAGGCAGCAGUGGGGAAUAUUGCACAAUGGGUGGAAGCCUGAUGCAGCAACGCCGUGUGCGGGAUGACGGCCUUCGGGUUGUAAACCGCUUUCGCUCAUGACGAAGCUUUGUGUGACGGUAGUGGGUAAAGAAGCACCGGCUAACUACGUG